rnacentral:rRNA from 1 species
GACGAACGCUGGCGGCGUGCUUAACACAUGCAAGUCGAACGGUAAGGCCCUUUCGGGGGUACGACGAGUGGCGAACGGGUGAGUAACACGUGGGUAAUCUGCCCUGCACUUCGGGAUAAGCUUGGGAAACUGGGUCUAAUACCGGAUAUGAGCGUCUGCCGCAUGGUGGGUGUUGGAAAGUUUUUCGGUGCAGGAUGGGCCCGCGGCCUAUCAGCUUGUUGGUGGGGUAAUGGCCUACCAAGGCGACGACGGGUAG